GACGAACGCUGGCGGCGUGCUUAACACAUGCAAGUCGAACGGAAAGGCCCUGCUUUUGUGGGGUGCUCGAGUGGCGAACGGGUGAGUAACACGUGAGUAACCUGCCCUUGACUUUGGGAUAACUUCAGGAAACUGGGGCUAAUACCGGAUAGGAGCUCCUGCUGCAUGGUGGGGGUUGGAAAGUUUCGGCGGUUGGGGAUGGACUCGCGGCUUAUCAGCUUGUUGGUGGGGUAGUUGCUUACCAAGGCUUUGACGGGUAGCCGGCCUGAGAGGGUGACCGGCGACAUUGGGACUGAGAUACGGCCCAGACUCCUACGGGAGGCAGCAGUGGGGAAUAUUGCACAAUGGGCGGAAGCCUGAUGCAGCAACGCCGCGUGCGGGAUGACGGCCUUCGGGUUGUAAACCGCUUUCGCCUGUGACGAAGCGUGAGUGACGGUAAUAGGUAAAGAAGCACCGGCUAACUACGUG
rnacentral:rRNA from 1 species